rnacentral:rRNA from 1 species
UGGGGAAUCUUCCGCAAUGGGCGCAAGCCUGACGGAGCAACGCCGCGUGAGUGAAGAAGGUCUUCGGAUCGUAAAGCUCUGUUGAUGGGGACGAACGUGCCUAAUGCGAAUAGUAUUAGGUAAUGACGGUACCCAUCGAGGAAGCCACGGCUAACUACGUGCCAGCAGCCGCGGUAAUACGUAGGUGGCGAGCGUUGUCCGGAAUCAUUGGGCGUAAAGGGAGCGCAGGCGGGCAUGUAAGUCUUUCGUAAAAGUGCGGGGCUCAACCCCGUGAUGGGAAAGAAACUAUGUGUCUUGAGUACAGGAGAGGAAAGCGGAAUUCCCAGUGUAGCGGUGAAAUGCGUAGAUAUUGGGAGGAACACCAGUGGCGAAGGCGGCUUUCUGGACUGCAACUGACGCUGAGGCUCGAAAGCCAGGGGAGCGAACGGG